CUAAGUUUGAUGGCGACCGGCGCACGGGUGAGUAACACGUAUCCAACCUGCCGAUGACUCGGGGAUAGCCUUUCGAAAGAAAGAUUAAUACCCGAUGGCAUAGUUCUUCCGCAUGGUGGAACUAUUAAAGAAUUUCGGUCAUCGAUGGGGAUGCGUUCCAUUAGGUUGUUGGCGGGGUAACGGCCCACCAAGCCUUCGAUGGAUAGGGGUUCCGAGAGGAAGGUCCCCCACCAUUGGAACUGAGACACGGUCCAAACUCCUACGGGAGGCAGCAUG
rnacentral:rRNA from 1 species